UGAAAUCAAUAAAGAUAUAUUUAAAAACAAAAACCCCCACAACUUAGUUUUAAAAAAAAAGAAAAGGAAGUUGGGUUGUGAUGUUGGAAGGGCAGACUGAGUUGGAUGUCACUGGAAAUUCUUUCGCAUGGUAUGUUCUCUGCAGCAUGUGCUGCUUUUCCUGAGUGUGCUCUUUCUUUCCCUUCCAUCUUCCAAGUCUGCUUGAUGAGCUGUGCUUCUUAGCUUAAAUAUGUACUUUGGUGUCUGUAGAAGCAAAAUGCGUAACUACAUUUUAGGUGUCUGGGGAGAGUCAUAAUGUUACUGCCCCACAUGCCAAGGCUUUUUUAUAGAAAACGCAGCUCUCCUCAUACGAUGUUUCCUGCGCUUACCCUCUUUGUCGCCCAUGAGCCGGUGUGAAGGGACUGUGAGGUAGACAUCAUGCACUGCCUCAAGGGGAUUCCUGACCCGUUCAGCCCACAUUAGUGGUGAGUUCUUCCAGAGCGAGAAGAGGCUGCUUUGAAAGGCCUUCAGAGUCUAGGCCCCUAACCUAGAGUGUGGAAUGCUUUUGUGAAUACAAAGACUGUCUUCCUUGGUGAGAAUCUAGGAACAGCCUCCCUUUCUUUCUUUCUCUUUCUCUCUCUUUCAUCUAUUAUUUUUUUUAAAUUGUUUUGUUUUUAUGUGUGUGUGUUUGUAUUUUAUCUCGUACGUGAUGGUGAUGGGAAGUGUUGGUUUGGAAAUGAGCUAUUAAAUUUUUCACCCAUUUUAUUCAGCUUUAUGUUUAGAAAAAUAAAAUUGAGUCAUUUUGAAUUACUGCUUCAAAAAAACUCUUCAGAUAAUUAGUGUUUGAGUUUUGAUUAAUUUUAAGUAAACCAUGAUUUUUCUAUAAGGAUACUAAGGUGUGUUACUUACGGUUUUUUUUUUUCUUUUGGGCAAACAGAUUAACCAGAUUUUUUUUUUUUUGGUCUUUUUCUUAUUGAAUAUAUAUAUUUUAAUGGUUUAUCCCCUUUUCUACCCUAAAAGGAACAUUAAGGAUGUAACUGAACCUUUCUUUGAGGUUUGAGGAUCUUACUGUGCUACAGGGUCACUGUUCUGAGGAUGAGUCCUGAUUGUACAUUAUAGAACUGUAAGUGGGGACAGAGCCAGAGAUUGGACUAGAUCCGUCCUGAUCCCGUCUUGGAAAUUAUUGCGGUUUUUGUUUUCUUUUAUCCAUAAUAGCAGUAUGUUUUGUUAUUUUUCCCUUAUUCUUCAAGUUGCAAGUAGCAGAAUAGAAAUUCACUUUAAUCAUUUGAUUCUGAUUAAUUGAGGUUUUUACUUUAUGGGAAAAUUUCAACCCAAGCCUAGAGCCAUAAUUUUUUCUCUGGAGUUGUAGAGGAUGCAAAAUCAUUCUCAGAUAUUCGGGAGGGCUAUUGUAUUCACAAAUAAGCUAUGCACUGUAGUAUUGGUAGCAUUGUGUAAGUACUCCCCUGUAUGAUAGUAGAUAGAAAUGCCAGCUAAUUUUGCCUCUUGCUCAGAUAUGUUCAAGGCAUAUCUUUGGUAAAGUGUUCCAUAAAUCUGGAAAGUUAGGAAAUUCAAGGGUUAGAAGGAAGAUGUCAAAGAAUAUCAAUAAAGAACACUUAGAUUCCCCCCAAAGAAACUCUUUUUCCAAGCCUAGGCCUGUGUUCCCUGGGCCAGUAAGGAAGGCAUCCCUGGGACCACACGGGCAGAGGCUAACUUUCCCAGGGCCCUCCCACUCAACUUAAUGAUAAUCUGUGGUUAUCUUUUGAUAUCUUGGAUGCCAUAGUGUUGGGAAUUCAGCUUGGGAGUCUUGCUCUUCUUUUGCGACGUCCCAAUUACUUAUUUAGUUUUUGCUUUUGUAGUAAAAACAUCAAGGAGAUUGUGUAAAGAAAUCCUUAGAAGCAGGGAUCAGGGCAUGGUGAGGAAUACCUGUGCAGGAGCCAUGGUUGAGGCAGGCUGACUGUGCUCUGGUUUUUACAUGCUAAUGUUAACAGGAAUUAUAGGUAACAAUUCCCUUGUGCUGAUGGAAGAACAUUUUUUCCCCCUAACAGAUGUUUAUGGCCCUAACUGACACGUCAUUAUUGCAAACUGUCUUAUCAUAUUACGUGCUCUGGCACAUUGACAAUGCGUGGCGCUGUGGUUUCCUGGUGAUUAUCUUGUCCACAGAGCUAAGGCUUUGGUGGCCAGCUGGGGAACCCUUUACAGUGUCCCCUGACAGCUGAGAGUGCAAGUACCCACAUCCUUGAAAGGACUGAAGGACUCCAGGCUGCCCCAGUGCUGUGUUCUCUGAAGCUCAGUCAGAGGCUGGCAGUGAGCAGGAAGAAAUAUGGUAUAGAAGAUGUAUCAGCUCCCAGCCCCGCGUCAUCUCUCAUAGUGCGGUUGGGCAUUUGAGUUUUGAUAAUGAACUAACAGUUUUUAAAUUAUUAGGAAGUUCCUAGGUCCAUGACCAGACUAUAAUAGGUGAAACUCUUUGGGGUACAAGGAAGGGUGCCACUUAGUCUACGAUCCUCAAGCCUGUGAAAGAGGCAGCACACUGUUAAAAAUACCUGGCUUACUUUGGGGGAGGAUUUGGCUGAAUACUGAUGAAGUUUAUGAAAUAUGAAUGCAGCGAAGUUGCUGUACGUAAGUGGUAGGCGUGUGUGAAAGAAGUAAGAAGAAAUAAAAUUGUGUAUAAAUGACACUCUGAAACUUGAUGGAAUUGUAUACGUGACAAGAAUGGUGACAUUUGGGUCUGUGCUUAAUGGGGGAAAAUAAACUGGCUUAAAACCUAUAUGUCAAACUAGAUGUGGGGAUGAAAAUUACUGAAUAUGAAAUCAUUUGACUUAUUUUAUAAGCAAAGAAUGCCACUAAGGAUAAACAGGCAGGCUGCAAAAAACAGAGGUGGAACAGAAUAGGGGGGGAAAUGAGGGACCAACACUUAAAUUUGUAAUGAGGUAUGGUAAUCACUGUUUUAACUAAUCCAGAAUAUUAACGGUGCUGCUAGGUAGAGAAUUAGUUAUAGCCAAGCAAAAGGCAUAAAUAUGAAUUUUAGGUUGUUUUGGGAGAAAUCCUCUUGAUCCCCAAAGUAUAAAUGCAUGUACUGAGAAGCAAAGCUGCACGCGAUGUAAUUUUUUCUGUCUUAUCCUGAUUAAUUGACAGCCACUGUAUGCCUCUUUCCUGAAGGUGACUUUACAAUCUCCAGACACAGACAUUUCUCUCAGAAGUGGAGUGAAGGAAGAACCACAAGCUAAAGUGUGAUUCGCUGGUGAAAAGAGGAAAAGUUGACACUUUGAGAAGUUAUGAUGAACUUGUCGAGAAUGCCAAUUGACAAAGGCAGUUUUAAAGAAACCUGAAGAACUGGACAAAGACGGAGAAAAGACCACCAGAUGUGAUUCUGCCCUUCCAGAAGAUCAUCCCAUACAAUCAAUGCCAGUCAUGGGGAGGAGCUAGAAGUUAAUGGAUUUUCAACAUACAGAUCACAGAAGAAACAGGAUAUAUUUAGCAAGUCUACAAACUCUUCAAUAAACUGCAUUGCUUUUUGUUUUCACUGUACAGUUAUAAAACCAGUGGAUGGUAAGAAGGCCACAGUAUAGCAUGUACUCCUAGGAACAAACAUUUGUGUGAUGGGGACGUUAUGUCUGAACAGACAGGGCAACGGGGAGGGUGAACUGCUCAUAACUCUCAAUUGUCCAGGUAAUGAAGCAUUGGGAAAGCAGAGGCAAAUGAAAUCCUUCGAUAAUCAAAAGUGAUUCUUCUUUUAGUGACUGUGUUAGUUGACUGAUGAUGACAAGUGAGAAAUGGCCAGAGGUGUAUUUUACCAUUUCUGGCACUCACGAACCACUCCUGAUGAACACAGUUAUGCAGAAAGUGGACAGUUUCUAUAGACCUGGCUGUCAACCCAGAAGAUGUAAAAUUUCACAGUGUGAAGGAUGAAGGUUGAAGAUUAGUGAGGUUCUACGACUUCCAUGAGGCCCUGCAGAGAAUCAGCAGGAGAACUGAUGCUACUCUGAAAGGGCUCUUGAAAUUUCUAAAGCUCGCAUUCUAAUCUUGAGCUUGGGGGUGUAUGUUACAUAUGCAGUGCUUACUCUAUGAUAAUAUAUAAUAGAAAUAGCUACAGAUAUAUGGUGCUGCCACUGCUUAUGUUUUAUUAGAAUAAAGCCUGGCUGAGCCAGAAGGGGCCUGUGAAUCAGCUGGCCUGGCCUCUUGUUUAAACUGAUACCCCGAGAUCUAACAAUGCGUGUGAGGCCUCGCUCCUAGUGCACAGUGAGGCUGUGACUGCAGCACUAGUCUUCCACUUCCUUACCUAAUAUUAGUUCCUUCCACUUGUGUGCUGUGCCAGGAUGCUCAGAAGCUCCAGUACGGUGCAACAUGGAGUUCCUGCCUCCCGGAAACCCCCCGAGGAUACUAAGAUGCACAUGAGUUAAUCUAGCACUCGGCAGUGGAUAUGUAUGAAAGAAAGUGUGAGGUAUUUUGGCUGUUUAUCAAUAGCGGAACAUUGUCAGUAAUUGUUAUGUUUUUAAAAUUCCACUGGUCAUUUUCAUUUUUAAUUAAAAAUUAGCCAGAGAGCUUGCAGCUGUGCCAGUAAAGCCGUUCUAAAGCACAGCAAAAAUAGUGCUUGCGUGUCAUGGUCUGGCUUAGUGGAAAGUAAAAUACAGGACAUGGAGUUGAGCGUCUUGUAGUCAGUGCUUGCCGGAGUUAGACGCAGCCAGGGGUGCAGUGGGAGAGGAUGUAUCUCCGCCACAGUCCUCUUGCAAGGCAGACGGUUUAAAGUUGUGCCUUUUAUGAGGUGCUCAAGAGCAAGUCUGCAAGUGGAAUACUACAUAGCCAGUGAAAAUCAUAUUGUACUAGAAGAAAAAUAUUUAUUAACGGGAAAAUGUUUAUAAUCUAUUGCUUAGUGAAAAGUCCCAGCUUCCAUAGUGUUGUGCACAGAACGGUAUCCUCUUUGUAAAAACUACAGUGUGUGUAUGUGUAUACAUGUGUAUAUAAUACACACACGAUAUUUGAAUAUAUGUGUGUAUGUGUAUA